rnacentral:lncRNA from 1 species
AGGCACUCGGUACUUAAUUAAGUACAUGGGUACUUGGUCAGUGGUUAUCAAGACAGGCCCCACACUUGCAGAGCUUUUGGGCGUGGGCUCUUCACAAUUUACAAAAUGCUUUCAUAUCCACUAGUUCAUUUGCUUCUCACAGCUCAGAAACUGAGGGUCAGGAGGUCAACUAAUUUCUUUAAAUUAUGCAGCCACUUAGUAAGCUCGCAUGCCCCACCAGACUGGGAGCUGACUGUGGGAUGAGAAAACAGCUUAUUAUAGUCCCAACUCCUGGGACCAGACCAGUAGGUCCCAUAAUUAGAUUUUAAAGGAAUGAAUUCAAGGACUAGAUUCAAACCCACAGCUCUGACUCCAAACAUUCUGCUUGCUCUAUAAUAUCAGCGAUGUCUCCGACAGACUGCUCUGCGUCCUUCCCAUACAAAUUGAAGACACUUAUCUAAAUUAGGCAAAGGAAAGGAAUUCAUAUUCCUCCUGUUUCCAGCUCCCAAUUCUAGUGUUGAGUGCCGUGAGAGAAUCUGUUCAAUGUAGCUACAAAAUGCAAGUUAAAAUAAAAAUUUGAAAGGAGAGGCGAAGAUUGCAAAGGAAGUGUUCUUUCCAUUUUUCCAACUGAUUAACAGUUUUCCUCUGAGUAAAUGCUUACAUUAAGGACGGCCAAGUUCUGGCCUUCUCCUCGUAGCGCAACCGCAAUGUCUCAGUCCCCGUUUAAGCAAACUGUAGCACUCUUUCAUACCUCAGUUUUCCCCAUCUGUCAAAUAGACAUUGUAGCCCUUUCCCAUCUUAAUCUCACUUUGAAUGCUCUUGACCUACUCAAGAGCAGAGAUCAGAUUCCGUACGUCAUUGUGUUCUCUGAAUUUAGCAAUUUCUGGCACGUAGUAUAUGGUCAAUAAAUGGCAACAAUGUAAACAACAAACUUUUCUUCCUUCUCUUUAGCUGGUAGGUCGGAUGGACUGUUCUGAUAUAGGUUGGGCUCAGCUCAUCUUGACUGGAUUCACGCAUGCAUCAGUGAUCUGCUAGUGGGUCAGCUGGGGGCUGGCUGGUCUAAGAAGCCCUUGGUUCAGAUGACUGUGUUUUGCUCCAUGUGGCCUCUCAGAGAUGAUGGGGUCUCCUGGAAAACAAGGUUUAGCAGGGCAGCAUUAAAGUUAUUUAAUGGCGCUAAGAGAUAUCCUGGGAAAGCUACUCCAUCAGACAGGUCCACAUGAGUACAAAGAGAUAAGAAAAUGGAUCUUCUCGCUUCACACGCUUUCAUGUUCUGCUGGAGAAAAUAUACAACUGUUCUGGAGGGCAACUUGGUGAUAUUGUGUCCAAAUGCAGCCUGGCUGCUCGUUUGAGCUCAAAGUUGAAAGCUUGGGAAAAAUCAGGCUAGGAACAGAACGACAGGAGAGAGAAUGAAAAAGGAAGUUGGGGAGGAGAUGGAGGGAAUCAGCAGGGAAGGGAGAGGGCACCUGUGUCCUCAUGGCUCUCUUCACCUCUGUUCUGCGCUCUCUCCCCACUUCCUGGAGACAGGUGAGAAGAAAAUGUGGACAAUUAAACCCUCAUGUGGGAACCCAGGUAGAGCAAACCACGCAGCCCAGGCUGACUCGCCCAUCCUCUCCAGUGCGUGCGGGUAAAGCGAGAAUCCCAUGGUACAGCAUCAACCCCCAGCAAGGAAAGCAGCUAUUGAAACUUGCUGAGCACGGAACAGCGGGGACAGAUCAUACCGAAACCAGUAAGUGGGCAGGAUGUGCUGCAUGGGUCAAAACCCUGGACCAAAGUAAUAGCAAACUUGCAGUUUGCGGUAUGCUGAGUUCCUGGUAUUUGGGAAAUGGCCACUGCAGCAACGGCAGGCUGGGAUAAGGAAGCUAAAGAACCAAGAAGCAGCAUACAGUCUGACCCACAAAGAGGAAUGCAAUACAGUUCUACAGAUG